GACGAACGCUGGCGGCGCGCCUUACGCAUGCAAGUCGAACGGACCUUCGGGUCAGUGGCGGACGGCUGAGUAACGCGUAGGUAACCUACCCCGUGGUGGGGGAUAACUCGCCGAAAGGUGGGCUAAUACCGCAUGUGACCGGUUGGUGAGAUUCCAGCCGAGGAAAGCAGCGAUGCGCCAUGGGAGGGGCCUGCGUGCUAGCAGGGAGUUGGUGGGGUAACGGCCUACCAAGCCGAUGACGGGUAGCUGGUCUGAGAGGACGACCAGCCAGAAGGGGACUGAGACACGGCCCCUACUCCUACGGGAGGCAGCAGCGAGGAAUCUUGGGCAAUGGGCGCAAGCCUGAUCCAGCAAUGCCGCGUGAGUGAUGAAGGCCUUCGGGUCGUAAAGCUCUUUUACCAGGGAUGAUAAUGACAGUACCUGGAGAAUAAGCUCCGGCUAACUCCGUGCCAGCCGCCGCAGUAAUAC
rnacentral:rRNA from 1 species